CCUACGGGAGGCAGCAGUGGGGAAUAUUGGGCAAUGGGCGCAAGCCUGACCCAGCAACGCCGCGUGAAGGAAGAAGGCUCUCGGGUUGUAAACUUCUUUUUUCAGGGACGAAGCAAGUGACGGUACCUGAUGAAUAAGCCACGGCUAACUACGUGCCAGCAGCCGCGGUAAUACGUAGGUGGCAAGCGUUAUCCGGAUUUACUGGGUGUAAAGCGCUCGUAGGCGGUAUGUCAAGUCAAGGGUGAAAUCCCCGCGCUCAACGUGGGAACUGCCUUUGAAACUGGCAAACUGGAGUGUGUGAGAGGAUAGUGGAAUUCCAGGUGUAGGACGGAAAUCCGUAGAUAUCUGGAGGAACAUCAGUGGCGAAGGCGACUAUCUGGCACAUAACUGACGCUGAGGAGCGAAAGCGUGGGUAGCAAACAGGAUUAGAUACCCGGGUAGUC
rnacentral:rRNA from 1 species